CCGCCGCUGCCGCCAGGUCCCGCUCGGUUCGGCGCGGCGCCGUCACGUGUGAGGCUCGCAGCGCGUCCCUUUCGCGCACUUUCUGCGCUCGGCGGCCUCGGCGGCGACUCCGGCCCCUCCCUGGCGCGGGGAUGGGGAAGUUAAGGCAGCGAGCGCCGGUGGGGGUGCGUCCCUUCCCUGGCGGGCACACCUCCUUGUUCUCCCUGCAGGAAUGAAGAGUUGCAUGGGGCUCGCUCGUUUUCUCUGGAGUUAGUUGCGUCCUAUACAGGGUCGUGUCGAGGUCGUCCUAAACCGUGGCCACUUUCCUGAGUGCACAGCCCGCAGUAGCGCCACAAGACCACCUCCCCCCGGCCCCGGCCUCAUCCCCACCUCCAGGGAAGAGUCCAGAGCCACAGAAUUAGCUCCUAGAACGCAACCAACAAGAGUCCAGAUGAACCCGCUCUAUUGGGAAACUCACAGUUUUUCAUCUACUCUGGGCACCACAACGUAUUUGCAGGGGCCACAGCAAAAACUACCCUUGAUCAAGCUACGUGCCCCAGCCUGAAGCACAGCAAAUAAACAUCCUGCACAGAGGCAGUAAAAACAAGGGUACAUCUGACAAAGAAUGCACCACACCUGGACAAUUAUUACACAGCUAUACAGGGUGUGCUUGCACGCACGCAUGAAUACCUGUGCGUGGCACAGGGCCCCAGCGGCGGCUUGCUUAUGAUCCCUCCAAGGUGACCAAGCACUGAGCCACCCUGCCUCAGCAGUAAAAUAGACAUAUUUACCAGUCCCUUCAACCCACAGCCAGGAGCUAGGCAAACACCCACAGAGGAGGGAGGACACACUUUAACCCUACAUUCAGCUUGACGAGCCAAACUCUCUGAACCACAGGAGAUAAAACUUCUGCCAUGGAACUGCUAAGGUAGAUAAUCAGCAACCCCCCAAGACUGUGCCUGCUGCACAACUACAGAACGCAGUGGAAGACACGCUGAAUUCUGAGUCAGAAGGUUGACUUUCUAGCUGUGGGGACUUGGCCAAACCUCCUCAGAGCUUCAGUUUUCUCAUCUGUAAAAUAGAGAUCUUAAUCCCUACCAAUCUCACAGGACUGCUGAGAGUAUCAGAUGAGAGUGCAAGAGGAAAAUCAUUCUGGAUUUUAGAGAAGAAAAUCCAAGACAAGAAACAGAGGUAGCAAGAGAGAGAUGUCACUGGUGCACCACUAAAGAAAAACCUCAAGCUGCCAACGUCAGCUCUACAGAGAAAUGGGGACUGAAACCAAAGAGAGGGAUUUCAGACCUGUGUCAGCUGAAAUCUAAAAUGCAGUCAUUCAUUUAGACAAUAGCUAGGAAGUUAUUUUUAUGUAUCAGUGACUUUGAAAAUGCAAUAUCAAUCAUGGUGUUAUUUCUCUUGGACCUGGGGCGAAAGGACUCAAGUGGAAGGUUCCCAUUACCACAGCGGUAUUUCAGGGAGUGAGGAAUUUGGGAGGGAGGAAAAACAGUAUGUCCCUCAUCUGGGGAUUUUCUCUCCUCAUAACUGAUCUUUUAAAAUCCUUUAUGUAGGGAUUUUGCAAACUGACUAUGAAAAGGAAAGCCCCACUAUCUCUUACUGUGCCAUCAACUCACACUGUAAAAGGAGCAAAAAGUGUUUUAAAAGCCAAUUUGACCAGAGCUGACUUAUUUUACUUUGUUUAUCGACAGAUGUCAAUAUCUUUAUAUUUCUUAUCUCCCCAGUGGACUGUAAGCUUCGGGAAAGGCAAUAGCUCUGGAAUAGUUACUGCGCUACUGGAGUAGUGCCCAUCAGACUGUGUGUAAAUGAGACUUGGCUGUCAGUCACCCUGGGAGGCGAUGCACAUUCAUUCUCAGGAUGCUGCUAUUGCUCAACUGAUUUUUAGAACUCUGAGAGGGAAGAAUUUUCUAACCCUUUCCAUUUGCCUUUAGAAUUGGUUCAUAUGUCACCCCAAAAUCAAUUUUUUAUACUUUAUAAUCAUCAUAUUCCUUUUUUUUUUUGAGAUAGAGUCUUGCUUUAUUGCCCAGGCUGGAGUGCAGUGGCGCGAUGUGGGCUCACUGCAACCUCCGCCUCCUGGGU
rnacentral:lncRNA from 1 species